GGGUUGUGAGGUUAAGCGACUAAGCGUACACGGUGGAUGCCCUGGCAGUCAGAGGCGAUGAAGGACGUGCUAAUCUGCGAUAAGCGUCGGUAAGGUGAUAUGAACCGUUAUAACCGGCGAUUUCCGAAUGGGGAAACCCAGUGUGUUUCGACACACUAUCAUUAACUGAAUCCAUAGGUUAAUGAGGCGAACCGGGGGAACUGAAACAUCUAAGUACCCCGAGGAAAAGAAAUCAACCGAGAUUCCCCCAGUAGCGGCGAGCGAACGGGGAGCAGCCCAGAGCCUGAAUCAGUGUGUGUGUUAGUGGAAGCGUCUGGAAAGGCGCGCGAUACAGGGUGACAGCCCCGUACACAAAAAUGCACAUGCUGUGAGCUCGAUGAGUAGGGCGGGACACGUGGUAUCCUGUCUGAAUAUGGGGGGACCAUCCUCCAAGGCUAAAUACUCCUGACUGACCGAUAGUGAACCAGUACCGUGAGGGAAAGGCGAAAAGAACCCCGGCGAGGGGAGUGAAAAAGAACCUGAAACCGUGUACGUACAAGCAGUGGGAGCACGCUUAGGCGUGUGACUGCGUACCUUUUGUAUAAUGGGUCAGCGACUUAUAUUCUGUAGCAAGGUUAACCGAAUAGGGGAGCCGAAGGGAAACCGAGUCUUAACUGGGCGUUAAGUUGCAGGGUAUAGACCCGAAACCCGGUGAUCUAGCCAUGGGCAGGUUGAAGGUUGGGUAACACUAACUGGAGGACCGAACCGACUAAUGUUGAAAAAUUAGCGGAUGACUUGUGGCUGGGGGUGAAAGGCCAAUCAAACCGGGAGAUAGCUGGUUCUCCCCGAAAGCUAUUUAGGUAGCGCCUCGUGAAUUCAUCUCCGGGGGUAGAGCACUGUUUCGGCAAGGGGGUCAUCCCGACUUACCAACCCGAUGCAAACUGCGAAUACCGGAGAAUGUUAUCACGGGAGACACACGGCGGGUGCUAACGUCCGUCGUGAAGAGGGAAACAACCCAGACCGCCAGCUAAGGUCCCAAAGUCAUGGUUAAGUGGGAAACGAUGUGGGAAGGCCCAGACAGCCAGGAUGUUGGCUUAGAAGCAGCCAUCAUUUAAAGAAAGCGUAAUAGCUCACUGGUCGAGUCGGCCUGCGCGGAAGAUGUAACGGGGCUAAACCAUGCACCGAAGCUGCGGCAGCGACACUAUGUGUUGUUGGGUAGGGGAGCGUUCUGUAAGCCUGUGAAGGUGUACUGUGAGGUAUGCUGGAGGUAUCAGAAGUGCGAAUGCUGACAUAAGUAACGAUAAAGCGGGUGAAAAGCCCGCUCGCCGGAAGACCAAGGGUUCCUGUCCAACGUUAAUCGGGGCAGGGUGAGUCGACCCCUAAGGCGAGGCCGAAAGGCGUAGUCGAUGGGAAACAGGUUAAUAUUCCUGUACUUGGUGUUACUGCGAAGGGGGGACGGAGAAGGCUAUGUUGGCCGGGCGACGGUUGUCCCGGUUUAAGCGUGUAGGCUGGUUUUCCAGGCAAAUCCGGAAAAUCAAGGCUGAGGCGUGAUGACGAGGCACUACGGUGCUGAAGCAACAAAUGCCCUGCUUCCAGGAAAAGCCUCUAAGCAUCAGGUAACAUCAAAUCGUACCCCAAACCGACACAGGUGGUCAGGUAGAGAAUACCAAGGCGCUUGAGAGAACUCGGGUGAAGGAACUAGGCAAAAUGGUGCCGUAACUUCGGGAGAAGGCACGCUGAUAUGUAGGUGAAGUCCCUCGCGGAUGGAGCUGAAAUCAGUCGAAGAUACCAGCUGGCUGCAACUGUUUAUUAAAAACACAGCACUGUGCAAACACGAAAGUGGACGUAUACGGUGUGACGCCUGCCCGGUGCCGGAAGGUUAAUUGAUGGGGUUAGCGCAAGCGAAGCUCUUGAUCGAAGCCCCGGUAAACGGCGGCCGUAACUAUAACGGUCCUAAGGUAGCGAAAUUCCUUGUCGGGUAAGUUCCGACCUGCACGAAUGGCGUAAUGAUGGCCAGGCUGUCUCCACCCGAGACUCAGUGAAAUUGAACUCGCUGUGAAGAUGCAGUGUACCCGCGGCAAGACGGAAAGACCCCGUGAACCUUUACUAUAGCUUGACACUGAACAUUGAGCCUUGAUGUGUAGGAUAGGUGGGAGGCUUUGAAGUGUGGACGCCAGUCUGCAUGGAGCCGACCUUGAAAUACCACCCUUUAAUGUUUGAUGUUCUAACGUUGACCCGUGAUCCGGGUUGCGGACAGUGUCUGGUGGGUAGUUUGACUGGGGCGGUCUCCUCCUAAAGAGUAACGGAGGAGCACGAAGGUUGGCUAAUCCUGGUCGGACAUCAGGAGGUUAGUGCAAUGGCAUAAGCCAGCUUGACUGCGAGCGUGACGGCGCGAGCAGGUGCGAAAGCAGGUCAUAGUGAUCCGGUGGUUCUGAAUGGAAGGGCCAUCGCUCAACGGAUAAAAGGUACUCCGGGGAUAACAGGCUGAUACCGCCCAAGAGUUCAUAUCGACGGCGGUGUUUGGCACCUCGAUGUCGGCUCAUCACAUCCUGGGGCUGAAGUAGGUCCCAAGGGUAUGGCUGUUCGCCAUUUAAAGUGGUACGCGAGCUGGGUUUAGAACGUCGUGAGACAGUUCGGUCCCUAUCUGCCGUGGGCGCUGGAGAAUUGAGGGGGGCUGCUCCUAGUACGAGAGGACCGGAGUGGACGCAUCACUGGUGUUCGGGUUGUCAUGCCAAUGGCACUGCCCGGUAGCUAAAUGCGGAAGAGAUAAGUGCUGAAAGCAUCUAAGCACGAAACUUGCCCCGAGAUGAGUUCUCCCUGACUCCUUGAGAGUCCUGAAGGAACGUUGAAGACGACGACGUUGAUAGGCCGGGUGUGUAAGCGCAGCGAUGCGUUGAGCUAACCGGUACUAAUGAACCGUGAGGCUUAACCUUACAACGCCGAAGGUGUUU
rnacentral:rRNA from 1 species